rnacentral:rRNA from 1 species
CAGCAGCCGCGGGAAUACAGAGGGUGCAAGCGUUAAUCGGAAUUACUGGGCGUAAAGCGCGCGUAGGUGGUUUGUUAAGUUGGAUGUGAAAUCCCCGGGCUCAACCUGGGAACUGCAUCCAAAACUGGCAAGCUAGAGUAUGGUAGAGGGUGGUGGAAUUUCCUGUGUAGCGGUGAAAUGCGUAGAUAUAGGAAGGAACACCAGUGGCGAAGGCGACCACCUGGACUGAUACUGACACUGAGGUGCGAAAGCGUGGGGAGCAAACAGGAUUAGAUACCCGAGUAGUCCCUGUCUCUUAUAC